GUGUGGGGGGGGGCUGGGCACGUGCGUGUGUGCCUGGGGGGCGGUGCACGGGCACACGCGUUGCGCGUGGGGCCGCCGGGGCGGCGUGCGGGGCUCGGCGCGCUCCCUGGGUGCACCGGGGACCCCUGCCUCCCUCCGCUCCUGCGGAGGGGGAACACGAUGUCAUCGGGGUUCUGACAUCAUCAUAGCCGCUCCUUCUGACGUCAGCCCGGUUCUGCUCCCGGCUUCCGCGCCGGGGCGCGCCGCAGGGCGCAGCGGCACCUCGAGGUGCUGCCCGCCGAGCGCUGCCCGGAGCCCCCGGGCUCCCCGGCACGGGGCGGGAGCCAGAAACGCCCGCCGGCCCCCGCGACGCACCCCGGGGCCGGCGCCCCGCCGCUGCCCGCAGCCGCUCGGGAUUUUACCGGGCUCUUUUCUCCCCUUUCAGACCCCACGGGGCGGAAACCUGCCCCCCGGGGCGCCGCCGCGCAGCCGCCGCCGGUGCCCGUCCCGCCGCCGGGGAUGCUGCGGGAAGGCGCCGGAGAGGAGGCGCGGGUGACCAGGUGCGGAGCCGCCGGCGGGCUCUUUCCCCGGCUAGCGGGGGGCUAAGGCGGCCCGUCUCCCCCUGCCCGGGCCCAGGCCCGCGUCCGGCGGGGCGACCCCGGCGCCAGCCCCCCGCGCGUCGCGACCUGCUGCAGCCCGAAAGCGAGAGGCGGCAGCGGCGGCGGCUGAAGGUCGAGCGCCCCGAAGGGUGGUUUAAAGCCGGGGGGGGGGGUGUCCUCGGUUGGGUGCGAUGCCUUCGCCGCCCCCUUUGCCUGGCCGGGCCCCCCAGUCCCUGCCGGCGAAUUUGUGCCUCGCAGGAGCUCGCCGAGGGCCUGGCUUCGCCGGCGGAGCAGGCGCAGGUCUGCGCGGCGCAGGCUCUGCCCCCCAGGCCCUCGGCUGCCUCGGGAGCACGGAGGAGCCCGUCCUGGCCGCUCUCCUGAGCACGUACGUAGCGCUGGCGGCAGCACCGGGCCCCGACGUGCUUUCGGGGCGGUUCCGCCUGCUUGGUGCCGGCGGAGACCCCGGGGUGCGGGAUCAGCCCGCAGCUGGGUUACGGGGGGAAGGGGGCGGUGCGGGGGGCGGCAGCAGAGCCGCCGGGUGCCGGGCGCUUGGGUGCCGCCGGGCUCUGCCGGUUGGUUUCUGUUCCAGCUGCGCGGAUGCAGCAGAGCGCCGGUGCGGUACGAAGUCACCCGGGGCCUCGUCCGCCUGGGCUGCCUGGAGGCGGCGGUGGCGGAGGAGCUGCUCGGGCGCCUGCGGGACGGAGGCCCCGCGCAGAGCGCGGACUUGCUGCUGGCGCUCGGCGGCGCCCUGCGCGCCCGCGCCGACGCUGCCAACCUGCUGCGGCUGCCGGGGCGCGAGUGCCUCGGCCCGGA
rnacentral:lncRNA from 1 species